rnacentral:rRNA from 1 species
CCAGCAGCCGCGGUAAUUCCAGCUCCAAUAGCGUAUAUUAAUGUUGUUGCGGUUAAAAAGCUCGUAGUUGAAUCUCUGAUCGGGAUGACCUCCCCACCUUAGGGUGGUGGUAGCUGUUGACCCGUUCAUCCUCCUAGCAGCGAUGGUUCUUAACCGAGCCGUUCGUACUAGGACUUUUACUUUGAGGAAAUUAGAGUGUUUCACGCAGGCAUUUGCCUUGAAUACAUUAGCAUGGAAUAAUAAUUUAGGACUUCGGUUCUAUUUUAUUGGUUCUGGACCGAAGUAAUGAUUAAUAGGGACAGUCGGGGGCAUUCGUACUCAACAGUCAGAGGUGAAAUUCUUGGAUUUGUUGGAGACGAACUACUGCGAAAGCAUUUGCCAAGGAUGUUUUCAUUGAUCAAGAACGAAAGU